UUGACCUCAAAUCAGGUAGGACUACCCGCUGAACUUAAGCAUAUCAAUAAGCGGAGGAAAAGAAACUAACAAGGAUUCCCCUAGUAACUGCGAGUGAAGAGGGAAAAGCUCAAAUUUGAAAUCUGGCAGGUCCCCUUACAUCUGUCCGAGUUGUAGUUUAGAGAAGUGCUAUCCGCGCUGGGCCUGUGCAUAAGUUUCUUUGGAACAGAACAUCAUAGAGGGUGAUAAUCCCGUCUUUGGCACAGGAUACAACCAGGGCUUUUGUGAUGCACCCUCGAAGAGUCGAGUUGUUUGGGAAUGCAGCUCUAAAUGGGUGGUAAAUUCCAUCUAAAGCUAAAUAUUGGCGAGAGACCGAUAGCGAACAAGUACCGCGAGGGAAAGAUGAAAAGAACUUUGAAAAGAGAGUUAAACAGUACGUGAAAUUGUUGAAAGGGAAACGCUUGAAGUCAGUCGCAUCUUGCAGAGAUCAACUCGACCCUUUCGUCGAGUGUAUUCCCUGUUGAGAUGGGUCAGCAUCAAUUUUGAUCGCUGGAUAAAGGCCUCGGGAAUGUGGCAUCCUUCGGGAUGUGUUAUAGACCAGGGUCAAUACAGUGGUUGGGAUUGAGGAACUCAGCGUGGCUUGAGGCAAUUUAUUGCCUACAC
rnacentral:rRNA from 1 species